rnacentral:snRNA from 1 species
GUGCUCACUUUUACAUCACAUAUACAAAAACUGGAAUGAAUACAAAGAUUACCAUGAACUAUGCAAAAGGAUGACACUAAAAUUAAUGCUGCAUAACAUAUUUAG